GCCCUGGUGGCUCAAAGGUUAAGUGUUCAGCUGGUAAUUGAAAGAUUGGUGAUUUGAACCCAUCCAGCGGCA
rnacentral:tRNA from 1 species